rnacentral:sRNA from 1 species
UUGCUAUCUGCGAUAUGGAAGAUUCGAACCUGCCGCAGGUUCGGGUCUCACUGCGUGAGACAACGGAGCCGUUUACGGCGACGGCCCGAAGGGCGAGCGAAGCGAGUCAUCCUGCACGACCCACCA